UUUCUUGUAGAAUUAGGUAUUCUAUCUUUUUUUUAGAAAGAACUGAAAUUAUGUUUCAAAUAAAGAAUUAUAUCGUGGUUGCUAAAGUCUAUAUAUCGCUUAUAGGCUUAAGGACAGCUUGACAUAACUAUCGAGGCGGCGUUUGGACCUAAAAGAUCGAAUGCAAUAAUACAUAGACAAAUAAAUCUCUUAUGAAUUUGGGAAUACUCCGUUAUUGAAUAUUGAAUUUUCGUUUUCAUGAAUUAAUCAAUUUAAGGAGAUUUCGCAUUCGAAGGGGGAUAGACUACUCAAGAAUCUUACUUUUCUUUUCUAUCUUAAAUUAGAAUUGGAUAAAUAANNNN
rnacentral:lncRNA from 1 species